rnacentral:rRNA from 1 species
CGUGUAGGCUGCCUCGCAAGUCGGAUGUGAAAGCCCUGGGCUCAACCUAGGAAGUGCAUUCGAAACUGCGAGGCUGGAGUCCUGGAGAGGAAGGCGGAAUUCUCGGUGUAGAGGUGAAAUUCGUAGAUAUCGAGAGGAACACCGGUGGCGAAGGCGGCCUUCUGGACAGUGACUGACGCUGAGACGCGAAAGCGUGGGGAGCAAACA